GAUGAACGCUAGCUACAGGCUUAACACAUGCAAGUCGAGGGGAAACGGCAUUAAGUGCUUGCACUUUUUGGACGUCGACCGGCGCACGGGUGAGUAACGCGUAUCCAACCUUCCCAUGACUAAGGGAUAACCUGCCGAAAGGCAGACUAAUACCUUAUGGUCUUCACUGACGGCAUCAGAUGUGAAGUAGAGAUUUAUCGGUUAUGGAUGGGGAUGCGUCUGAUUAGCUUGUUGGCGGGGUAACGGCCCACCAAGGCAACGAUCAGUAGGGGUUCUGAGAGGAAGGUCCCCCACAUUGGAACUGAGACACGGUCCAAACUCCUACGGGAGGCAGCAGUGAGGAAUAUUGGUCAAUGGGCGAGAGCCUGAACCAGCCAAGUAGCGUGCAGGAUGACGGCCCUAUGGGUUGUAAACUGCUUUUGUAUGGGGAUAAAGUCAGUCACGUGUGAUUGUUUGCAGGUACCAUACGAAUAAGGACCGGCUAAUUCCGUGCCAGCAGCCGCGGUAAUACGGAAGGUCCGGGCGUUAUCCGGAUUUAUUGGGUUUAAAGGGAGCGUAGGCUGGAGAUUAAGUGUGUUGUGGAAUGUAGACGCUCAACGUCUGACUUGCAGCGCAUACUGGUUUCCUUGAGUACGCACAACGUUGGCGGAAUUCGUCGUGUAGCGGUGAAAUGCUUAGAUAUGACGAAGAACUCCGAUUGCGAAGGCAGCUGACGGGAGCGCAACUGACGCUGAAGCUCGAAGGUGCGGGUAUCGAACAGG
rnacentral:rRNA from 1 species